UACGGGGGGGGCAAGCGUUGUUCGGAAUUACUGGGCGUAAAGGGCUCGUAGGCGGCCAACUAAGUCAAACGUGAAAUCCCUCGGCUUAACCGGGGAACUGCGCUUGAUACUGGAUGGCUUGAGAUUGGGAGAGGGAUGCGGAAUUCCUGGUGUAGCGGUGAAAUGCGUAGAUAUCUGGAGGAACACCGGUGGCGAAGGCGGCAUCCUGGACCGAUACUGACGCUGAGGAGCGAAAGCCAGGGGAGCAAACGGG
rnacentral:rRNA from 1 species